UACGUAGGGUGCAAGCGUUAAUCGGAAUUACUGGGCGUAAAGCGUGCGCAGGCGGUUGUGCAAGACAGAUGUGAAAUCCCCGGGCUCAACCUGGGAACUGCAUUUGUGACUGCACGGCUGGAGUGCGGGCAGAGGGGGGAUGGAAUUCCGCGUGUAGCAGGUGAAAUGCGUAGAUAUGCGGAGGAACACCGAUGGCGAAGGCAAUCCCCUGGGCCUGCACUGACGCUCAUGCACGAAAGCGUGGGGAGCAACAGG
rnacentral:rRNA from 1 species